CCUGGUUGUGCUUGUAAUAACAAUAUCAACAACGCUAAUGGUAGUAACUUUGAGUUUUUGUGGUGAUGUAUGCGAGUUCCUCCAACAAGAAAGAAUUAGAAGCUCGGUGAGAGGUACAAAGCAAUGUCAAGAGGCAAAAUGCCACCAUGGAGAUGGAGAUCCUUGACUGUCCUGUCUUCUUCAGUCCCCUUAGGCUUCCGGCAUUUCAUGUAAUGCACUAUGUGUACACACCUUUAC
rnacentral:lncRNA from 1 species